AUUUAUAUACGUUUCUCGUUAAAAUACAUUUUACCGCCAUCAUAUUUAUUCACCGGAGUUUCCCAAGUGGUAUAAAGUUAAAACGACGAGGAGUUACUGUUAACACAACAAAAGCCGUUGAAAAAAGUGUUGCUCAUUUCAGAAGCGCGAAAAUUCGGUUAAUCGCGACGGACGCCGGCGAAUCGACGACGACGAGGAAACAGCGAUGAGCAGCGGUCAAGGUGGACCCCACUCCCUGGCCUUCCGGGUGAUGAGGCUGUGCAAGCCCUCAUCCCAGGUGGACCCCAUUCCCCUCCUUCUCGACCCCGCCGAUCUCGUCGUCGGCGAGGACGUUUUCGACGACCCAAUGGCAGCCGCGCAACUCCCCCGCCUCCUCGACGUCCACGACUCCUUGAACCCCUCCUCCUCCGCCUCCUCUGACUCCUCGGAUCUCACCUACCGCACCCGGUUCCUCCUCCACCACCCCUCCGACUCCAUUGGCCUCUCUGGCCUCCUCGUCCUCCCCCAAGCCUUCGGAGCAAUAUACUUAGGGGAGACAUUUUGUAGCUAUAUUAGCAUCAAUAACAGCUCCAAUUUCGAAGUCAAGGACAUUAUAAUCAAGUCGGAAAUGCAAACAGAAAGGCAGAGACUUGUGCUGUUGGACACGUCGAAUUCGCCGGUUGAAUCCAUACGUGCAGGCGGCCGUUAUGACUUCAUUGUUGAACAUGAUGUCAAGGAACUCGGAGCUCACACGUUGGUUUGCACUGCAUUGUACUAUGACGGUGAUGGUGAGCGUAAAUAUCUACCACAGUUCUUCAAAUUCAUUGUUUCCAAUCCGCUUUCUGUCAGGACGAAGGUCCUUGUUAUAAAGGAAAUCACGCUUUUAGAAGCUUGCAUCGAAAACCAUACAAAGUCAAAUCUUUUUAUGGAACAAGUUGAGUUUGAGCCCGCUCAGCAUUGGAGUGCAAAAAUCCUAAAAUCUGACGAACACCAUUCCGAAAAGAAUUCUCAAACAAGAGAGAUAUUUAAGCCACCAAUUCUCAUCGAAUCCGGUGGAGGAAUUCAUAACUAUCUUUUUCAGUUAACAUCACAUGGUUCAACCCAAGGGAAAGUUGAGGGAAGCAAUAUUCUUGGUAAACUUCAGAUAACAUGGCGAACUAAUCUGGGCGAACCUGGUCGCCUACAAACACAGCAAAUUAUGGGAACUCCCAUAACACGAAAGGAUAUUGAGUUGCAUGUUGUGGAGGAGCCAUCUGCCAUCAAGUUGGAAAGACCCUUUUUGCUACACUUGAAUUUAGCAAAUGAGACAGAUAAGGAACUCGGCCCUUUCGGAGUUUGUUUAUCACAAGAUGAUUCACGUGAGGAGAAUGUUGUUGUGAUUAAUGGUCUUCAAACAGUGGUUUUGCCGAGGGUUGAGGCGUUUAGUUCCACAAAUUUCAAUCUGGUACGGAGAAUAAUUUCACCAGCACCUUAUACAUUCAGUUUAAACAUCUUUGGUAAAUGAGAAUCACAAUGGAGAUGAUGCUCUCUAAACCCCGCAACCCAAAUAACCUGAUUGCCACUAAACUUGGAGUUCAGAGGAUCACGGGCAUUACUGUGUUUAACAUAAGAGAGAAAAAGUCAUACGACCCUUUGCCAGAUAUGGAGAUUUUUGUGGAUCUCGACUAAUCAAUGCUUAGGUUUUACCGGUUUUGCUUCCCGUCUUGUGUGGGGAUUAUCAAACAUGGAGCAGAUGCCAUGAUCUGUCUCUUCAAUGAGCUUUAAUCAAGUUCGAGUCCUAUUACUGGUGACAUUUACCCUCCUCCGGCUUUCGAUGACUUGUUUCAGUAAUCUCUUCCUUCCCAAACCAAGCAUUUGACAGUUUGAUUACACAUUUAGGAACUAUUGUAUAGUUCUAAGAUUAGAAUGACCGAAAACGUGCUUCACAUCUAGUUGUGACGCGAUGAAACGCACGUAGUCUAUAAGGAAAUUGCAGAUUUCUGAUACAAUUGCUUGGAAACUAUUGUUACAUCAGACGAACUCCAUUUUUUCUUUCCCUCCAUUUCUUGGAAACUUGCGAAGAAAUUAUUGUUUCAA